GACGAACGCUGGCGGCGUGCUUAACACAUGCAAGUCGAACGGAGCGAAUGAAAGCUUGCUUUUAUAAGCUUAGUGGCAAACGGGUGAGUAACACGUAGACAACCUGCCGACAGGAUGGGGACAACAUUCCGAAAGGAAUGCUAAUACCGAAUGAAGUGCAGGGGAGGCAUCUCCCCUGCAUGAAAGAUGGCCUCUAUAUAUAUGCUAUCACCUGUUGAUGGGUCUGCGUCUGAUUAGCUGGUAGGUGAGGUAACGGCUCACCUAGGCGACGAUCAGUAGCCGGUCUGAGAGGAUGAAACGGCCACAUUGGGACUGAGACACGGGCCCAGACUUCCUACGGGAGGGCAGCAGUGGGGAAUCUUUCCCGCAAUGGGCGAAAAGCCUGACGGAAGCAAACCGCCGCGUGAGUGAAGAAGGUUUUUCGGAUUCG
rnacentral:rRNA from 1 species